rnacentral:rRNA from 1 species
CCUACGGGAGGCUGCAGUCGAGAAUCUUUCGCAAUGCCCGAAAGGGUGACGAAGCGACGCCGCGUGCGGGAGGAAGGCCUUCGGGUUGUAAACCGCUGUCGGGAGUUAAGAAAUGCAAGGAUGUUAAUAGCGUUCUUGCUUGACUAAGGCUCCGGAGGAAGCCACGGCUAACUCUGUGCCAGCAGCCGCGGUAAUACAGAGGCGGCAAGCGUUGUUCGGAAUUAUUGGGCGUAAAGAGCACGUAGGCGGCUGUGUAAGUCGGUUGUGAAAGCCUUCCGCUCAACGGAAGAACGGCAUCCGAUACUGCAUAGCUUGAGUGUGGGAGGGGAGAGUGGAACUUCUGGUGGAGCGGUGAAAUGCGUAGAUAUCAGAAGAAACACCGGCGGCGAAGGCGACUCUCUGGUCCAUAACUGACGCUGAGUGUGCGAAAGCUAGGGGAGCAAACGGGAUUAGAUACCCCGGUAGUCCUAGCCGUAAACGAUGGGCACUAAGUAGAGGGGUUUUGAUUAUCUCUCUGCCGGAGCUAACGCAUUAAGUGCCCCGCCUGGGGAGUACGGCCGCAAGGCUAAAACUCAAAAGAAUUGACGGGG